rnacentral:misc_RNA from 1 species
GAUCAAACAAUAACUUCAUUCUCAUUAUCGAGAGAUGAUAGGUUCUUGCUGGUUAAUCUUCUGAACCAGGAAAUCCACCUUUGGAACAUAGAAGGUGGCAUCAAGCUUGUAGCCAAAUAUAAAGGUCACAAACGUGCCCGCUUUGUUAUUAGGUCUUGUUUUGGGGGACUGGAACAGGCUUUUAUUGCCAGUGGCAGUGAAGACUCACAGGUAUAUAUAUGGCACAGAGGGUCCAGAGAGCUCAUAGAGGCAUUGCCUGGUCA